rnacentral:rRNA from 1 species
UACGUAGGGUGCGAGCGUUAAUCGGAAUUAUUGGGCGUAAAGAGCUCGUAGGCGGCCUGUCGCGUCGGUUGUGAAAGCCCGGGGCUUAACCCCGGGUCUGCAGUCGAUACGGGCAGGCUAGAGUUCGGUAGGGGAGACUGGAAUUCCUGGUGUAGCGGUGGAAUGCGCAGAUAUCAGGAGGAACACCGGUGGCGAAGGCGGGUCUCUGGGCAGUAACCGACGCUGAGGAGCGAAAGCGUGGGGAGCGAACAGG